GGAAUAUUAGAAAUGGACGAAAGUCUGAUCUAGCAACACCGCGUGUGCGAAGAAGGCCUUUGGGUCGUAAAACACUUUUUGGAAGGAAUAGGAAGGAAUGUACUUCCAGAAUAAGUCUCGGCUAACUACGUGCCAGCAGCCGCGGUAACACGUAGGAGGCAAACGUUAUCCGGAUUUACUGGGCGUAAAGCGCGUGUAGGUGGUACUGUAAGUAGGGCGUGAAAGCUCCUGGCUCAACUGGGAGAGGCCGUUCUAAACUACAGAACUAGAGGAUGGUAGAGGGAGGUGGAAUUCCAGGUGUAGCGGUGGAAUGCGCAGAUAUCUGGAGGAACACCGGUGGCGAAGGCGGCCUCCUGGACCAUUCCUGACACUCAGACGCGAAAGCUAGGGUAGCAAACGG
rnacentral:rRNA from 1 species